rnacentral:snoRNA from 1 species
GGGACCAAUGAUGAUUAUGAACCAAGGAUAAUGAUUAACCCAAUUUUGUGUAUCUGAAGUCCAAU